rnacentral:rRNA from 1 species
UACGAAGGGGGCUAGCGUUGUUCGGAAUUACUGGGCGUAAAGGGCGCGUAGGCGGCCAACUAAGUCAGACGUGAAAUCCCUCGGCUCAACCGGGGAACUGCGUCUGAUACUGGAUGGCUUGAAUUCGGGAGAGGGAUGCGGAAUUCCAGGUGUAGCGGUGAAAUGCGUAGAUAUCUGGAGGAACACCGGUGGCGAAGGCGGCAUCCUGGACCGAGAUUGACGCUGAUGCGCGAAAGCGUGGGGAGCAAACAGG